CGUGCUUAACACAUGCAAGUCGAACGGAAAGGCCCUGCUUGCAGGGUACUCGAGUGGCGAACGGGUGAGUAACACGUGGGUGAUCUGCCCUGCACUUCGGGAUAAGCCUGGGAAACUGGGUCUAAUACCGGAUAGGAGCCAUUUUUAGUGUGAUGGUUGGAAAGUUUUUUCGGUGUAGGAUGAGCUCGCGGCCUAUCAGCUUGUUGGUGGGGUAAUGGCCUACCAAGGCGGCGACGGGUAGCCGGCCUGAGAGGGUGGACGGCCACAUUGGGACUGAGAUACGGCCCAGACUCCUACGGGAGGCAGCAGUGGGGAAUAUUGCACAAUGGGCGCAAGCCUGAUGCAGCGACGCCGCGUGGGGGAUGACGGCCUUCGGGUUGUAAACUCCUUUCGCUAGGGACGAAGCUUUUUGUGACGGUACCUAGAUAAGAAGCACCGGCUAACUACGUGCCAGCAGCCGCGGUAAUACGUAGGGUGCGAGCGUUGUCCGGAAUUACUGGGCGUAAAGGGCUCGUAGGUGGUUUGUCGCGUCGUCUGUGAAAUUCCGGGGCUUAACUCCGGGCGUGCAGGCGAUACGGGCAUAACUUGAGUACUGUAGGGGUAACUGGAAUUCCUGGUGUAGCGGUGAAAUGCGCAGAUAUCAGGAGGAACACCGAUGGCGAAGGCAGGUUACUGGGCAGUUACUGACGCUGAGGAGCGAAAGCAUGGGUAGCGAACAGGAUUAGAUACCCUGGUAGUCCAU
rnacentral:rRNA from 1 species